rnacentral:misc_RNA from 1 species
AACGCACAUUGCGCCUUUCGGUAUUCCGGAGGGCAUGCCUGUUCGAGAGUCAUUGACAACCGUUUCAAUCCCUUUUAUAUAAUAUAUUGAAGGGCUUGGUUGUGGUGGACGAGGUGAUGUAAACACUUGUUGAAUUACCUCCCCACCGAAAUUCAGAGGCGGUCCAUCCCCCAUGUCGUUGUGGCGUUGUAAAAGCUCUCCAGCAAUUUUCGCUUGCAAUCAUGGGCUUUAUGGCUUGCCAGUUGAAAACCCCCCAUAUAUCAAAGGUUGACCUCGGAUCAGGUAGGGAUACCCGCUGAACUUAA